rnacentral:rRNA from 1 species
UCUCUACGGGGGGCAGCAGUGGGGAAUAUUGCACAAUGGGGGAAACCCUGAUGCAGCGACGCCGCGUGAGUGAAGAAGUAUUUCGGUAUGUAAAGCUCUAUCAGCAGGGAAGAAAAUGACGGUACCUGACUAAGAAGCCCCGGCUAACUACGUGCCAGCAGCCGCGGUAAUACGUAGGGGGCAAGCGUUAUCCGGAUUUAUUGGGUUUAAAGGGUGCGUAGGCGGGCUGUUAAGUCAGCGGUCAAAUGUCGGGGCUCAACCCCGGCCUGCCGCUGC